rnacentral:rRNA from 1 species
AGAGUUUGAUCCUGGCUCAGGACGAACGCUGGCGGCGUGCGUAAUACAUGCAAGUCGAGCGAGCUUGCCUAGAUGAUUUUGGUGCUUGCACUAAAUGAAACUAGAUACAAGCGAGCGGCGGACGGGUGAGUAACACGUGGGUAACCUGCCCAAGAGACUGGGAUAACACCUGGAAACAGAUGCUAAUACCGGAUAACAACACUAGACGCAUGUCUAGAGUUUGAAAGAUGGUUCUGCUAUCACUCUUGGAUGGACCUGCGGUGCAUUAGCUAGUUGGUAAGGUAACGGCUUACCAAGGCAAUGAUGCAUAGCCGAGUUGAGAGACUGAUCGGCCACAUUGGGACUGAGACACGGCCCAAACUCCUACGGGAGGCAGCAGUAGGGAAUCUUCCACAAUGGACGAGAGUCUGAUGGAGCAACGCCGCGUGAGUGAAGAAGGGUUUUCGGCUCGUAAAGCUCUGUUGGUAGUGAAGAAAGAUAGAGGUAGUAACUGGCCUUUAUUUGACGGUAAUUACUUAGAAAGUCACGGCUAACUACGUGCCAGCAGCCGCGGUAAUACGUAGGUGGCAAGCGUUGUCCGGAUUUAUUGGGCGUAAAGCGAGUGCAGGCGGUUCAAUAAGUCUGAUGUGAAAGCCUUCGGCUCAACCGGAGAAUUGCAUCAGAAACUGUUGAACUUGAGUGCAGAAGAGGAGAGUGGAACUCCAUGUGUAGCGGUGGAAUGCGUAGAUAUAUGGAAGAACACCAGUGGCGAAGGCGGCUCUCUGGUCUGCAACUGACGCUGAGGCUCGAAAGCAUGGGUAGCGAACAGGAUUAGAUACCCUGGUAGUCCAUGCCGUAAACGAUGAGUGCUAAGCGUUGGGAGGUUUCCGCCUCUCAGUGCUGCAGCU